GUGUCAGCCGCCGCGGUAAUACGUAGGGGGCGAGCGUUAUUCGGAAUUACUGGGUGUAAAGGGUAUGUAGGCGGCCUCACAAGUCGCGUGUCAAAGUCCAGCGCUCAACGCUGGGUUCGCACGCGAUACUGUCUGGCUUGAGGACUGGAGAGGUGAGCGGAAUUCCCGGUGUAGUGGUAAAAUACGUAGAUAUCGGGAGGAACACCAGCGGCGUAGGCGGCUCACUAGACAGUUUCUGACGCUAAGAUACGAAAGCGUGGGGAGCAAACAGGAUUAGAUACCCUGGUAGUCCACGCCCUAAACGAUGGAUACUUGGUGUUGGGGGGUUACCUUCAGUGCCGGAGCUAACGCGUUAAGUAUCCCACCUGGGGACUACGGCCGCAAGGCUAAAACUCAAAGGAAUUGACGGGG
rnacentral:rRNA from 1 species